AGUCUUUCCACAGAGACAACUCACAGGCUAUAAAGUGCUUAACAUUUCCUUGGCUUCAGAAGGCACUAGGGAAGGAGACUCUGGUGGACCACAAGUGAUGGAAGGCUUGGAAAGUGACACUGUGGCGGAGGGGAUACUAUUGUACAUUUUUACUUGUUAUCUCAUUGUGCAGGAGUGUGUUUUAUUAUCAUUUUUGUUAUCGUUAUAUAGUGUGUGCAUGUGUAUAUGAGGUUAAUUUAUUAUUUUUAUUUUAUUUUGCACAGGCU
rnacentral:lncRNA from 10 species